AUGGACCUCAGUGCCCUCAGCAGCGACUACUCGUCGGGGACGCCGUCCCCGGUGGGCGCGGACGGCGGCAACAGCGAGGGCUUCUCGACGUACAUGACGGUGUCUUCGGCUCCGCCGAAGCGCCGCGCCGGGCGGACCAAGUUCAAGGAGACGCGGCACCCGGUCUACAAGGGCGUGCGCCGGAGGAACCCCGGGAGGUGGGUCUGCGAGGUGCGGGAGCCGCACAGCAAGCAGAGGAUAUGGCUCGGCACGUUUGAGACCGCAGAGAUGGCGGCACGCGCGCACGACGUGGCCGCGCUGGCGCUGCGCGGCCGCGCCGCCUGCCUGAACUUCGCCGACUCGCCUCGGCGGCUCCGGGUCCCGCCCGUGGGUGCUAGCCCUGAUGAGAUACGGCGGGCCGCGGUAGAGGCGGCUGAGGCAUUCCUGCCGGCACCCGUCCAGAGCAAUGCGGCCGCCGAGGAGGCAGCCGUUGCACCAACGGAGCAGUUCGCCGGUGACCCGUACUAUGGAAUGGACGAUGGGAUGGACUUCGGGAUGCAGGGCUACCUCGACAUGGCGCAGGGGAUGCUCAUUGCCCCUCCUCCGAUGGCGGGCCCGUCAGCGACUGUCGGAGAGGGCGACGAUGACGGCGAGGUCAGCUUGUGGAGCUACUGA
rnacentral:rRNA from 1 species